rnacentral:rRNA from 1 species
UUAAAUUGAAGAGUUUGAUCAUGGCUCAGAUUGAACGCUGGCGGCAGGCCUAACACAUGCAAGUCGAACGGUAACAGGAAGCAGCUUGCUGCUUUGCUGACGAGUGGCGGACGGGUGAGUAAUGUCUGGGAAACUGCCCGAUGGAGGGGGAUAACUACUGGAAACGGUAGCUAAUACCGCAUAACGUCGCAAGACCAAAGAGGGGGACCUUCGGGCCUCUUGCCAUCGGAUGUGCCCAGAUGGGAUUAGCUAGUAGGUGGGGUAAAGGCUCACCUAGGCGACGAUCCCUAGCUGGUCUGAGAGGAU